rnacentral:rRNA from 1 species
UAUGUAGGGGGCAAGCGUUGUCCGGAUUUAUUGGGCGUAAAGAGCUCGUAGGCGGCUCAGUAAGUCGGGUGUGAAACCUCCAGGCUCAACCUGGAGACGCCACCCGAUACUGCUGUGGCUAGAGUCCAGUAGGGGAGUGUGGAAUUCCCGGUGUAGCGGUGAAAUGCGCAGAUAUCGGGAGGAACACCAGCGGCGAAGGCGGCUCUCUGGGACGGUACUGACGCUGAGACGCGAAAGCGUGGGGAGCGAACAGG